AGUACAUAAGAUCUUAAGGGACCCAGACACCACGUCAGAUUUGUCUUCUUCUGACCACGUGUAGAAACAAACAAAGAACUUCAAGGACAGAGAGAAUGAACGGAUAAUUCCGGCUUCAACAAAGGAAUUUUGAAUGUAUAAUCAACGUCAUUAUCCAUAUAAGACAAAGACCUAAUGUUCUUGAUUUGAAGCUUCUCAACGACUCUUAAUACGAUGACACUCUUCUCCAACAUCUCUCAAAUCCUAACCUAUAUAAGGAAAUAAAGACUUGAAGAACCAUAACAAGACUUUUCUAUUUUAACUAUGCUCUUACUCUGUGAAAUCAAAAAGCGCAUAUAAGUUUUAGAGUUCUUAUCAAAGUUUGUAUC
rnacentral:lncRNA from 1 species